UACAGAGGGUGCGAGCGUUAAUCGGAAUUACUGGGCGUAAAGCGUGCGUAGACGGCUAUCUAAGUCGGGUGUGAAAGCCCCGGGCUCAACCUGGGAAUUGCGAUGGAGACUGCAAGGCUAGAGUCUGGCAGAGGGGGGUAGAAUUCCACGUGUAGCAGUGAAAUGCGUAGAGAUGUGGAGGAACACCGAUGGCGAAGGCAGCCCCCUGGGUCAAGAUUGACGCUCAUGCACGAAAGCGUGGGGAGCAAACAGG
rnacentral:rRNA from 1 species